rfam:Oxobacter pfennigii strain DSM 3222 OXPF_contig000028, whole genome shotgun sequence.
UAGAGCUAUGGGCAAACCCGGUUAAAACCGGGGACGCAAAGCCGAGGGUCUAAGGUGUCUUAGGGCGCUAUGAUAGUCUGGCUGCCAAA